AUUAAUCUUUCUCUGUCGCAAAGGAAGGGAGAUUUUUUUGGUUGAGGAAUGAAAAUUCUGAUUCAAAGCAGUUGGUUACACAGUAUCAUUAAAACUAACCUGAGUUGUUUCUAAUAUCAAGUACUCAACACUUCAAUGAAGAUCAGUUGCCAUGUUUAAAUGGAGAAUGUGAUAGAACAUUGGGUGUGUAGGACUUAGCAGACCUACCCUCUUGGUGGCUUGUUCCAGGUCGAUCCUGACCACUCGCUCGGUCCUCUGGACGUCAGACAGCUCUGACUUGAGUUGAUCAAUCUGUGUCUCGAGUUUCUUCUGCUGACUCUUCUCAUCAAAGAUGCUGACCUUGGACUUCUCAAGUUCCUGUUUCAGGGUGUUGAUAAGCUCCUCCUGCUCUUGCAUUUUAUUCUCGGCAGUUUUGUAUUUCUGAAAGGAAAAAGGCAUAACUUAUAUGACUGAGACAAUUUUUGUUUUGGAUAUUAAUGUCUAACAGUAUUUUUAAUCAGUAUUUAAUCACUAGCCAAAACUUUCAGAUUAAUCCAUUCUAAUAUUUCUCUAUUUAAAAAAAUCUUUUUUUUUUAACCCUCAUUUGCUUAUAAUUCAAAGUUGGAAAAUGAAAAGGGAACUUAAUGAAACAAAUCUUUGAUAUAGAUUACCAAUCACAUGUAUUAAAAUGUUAUACUGUGCAAGUUACAUGGCUAGUAAAAAUUUUGAUGCAUUCAU
rnacentral:sRNA from 1 species